UCCAGACUCCUACGGGAGGCAGCAGUGAGGGAUAUUGGGCAAUGGGGGAAACCCUGACCCAGCGACGCCGCGUGAGGGAAGACGGUCUUCGGAUUGUAAACCUCUGUCUUUGGGGGCGAAAAAGGACGGUACCCAAGGAGGAAGCUCCGGCUAACUACGUGCCAGCAGCCGCGGUAAUACGUAGGGGGCGAGCGUUAUCCGGAUUCACUGGGUGUAAAGGGAGCGUAGACGGCCAAGCAAGCCAGGGGUGAAAGCCCGGGGCCCAACCCCGGGACUGCCCUUGGAACUGCAUGGCUGGAGUGCGGGAGGGGCAGGCGGAAUUCCUGGUGUAGCGGUGAAAUGCGUAGAUAUCAGGAGGAACACCGGCGGCGAAGGCGGCCUGCUGGACCGCGACUGACGUUGAGGCUCGAAAGCGUGGGGAGCGAACAGGAUUAGAUACCCGUGUAC
rnacentral:rRNA from 1 species